UGGAACAUUUGAAUAUUUGGGGGUUUCAUGAAAUAAAACCUUGCUAGAAUCGUUCAAAAAUCUCUCUUCUCUAUGCUGUCUGCGUAUCUGGUCAUGAAAUAAGCUCAUGUACCUGCCUUCUGUAGAUGUUAUGGGAAGCUUCUCCAAAUUAGAAACAAUUGACGAUUUUAUGUGUUAUCAAUUAGAGACAAGAUGUGAGAAGGAGAGUGGCCCUGAAUGGUCUAAGAUUUCCCACAUUCCACAUAUAUGUACUAAUUAUAGGAUGUAAGUUCAGUUACUUGAGCCACAACUCUGCAUCUUUUGGCUAUUGAUAUAAAAUAUACUAAUCGUCUCUUGAUACUUUUUACAGUUAGACCCUUUGAUCUUCUCAUCCUAAGCUACUUGAUUAAGUCUCAUAUAAAGCCUUCUUUUAAAACAUUUUGGCUUUUGUGGCAUAAUGUUGCAGGGUUUAGUUUGGGCAGGGAUUCUUUUGAGACUAUCAAUACGAGAACAAAAUUAAAAAUUGAACCUGUGGACACAAAAGUAAGUUGUGUUUUUAAUUUCCUUUCCAUGAAAAUUAUGAUAUUAUGCUUUUAGAUUUUGCCUUGAUAAAAAAUUCCAUGGAUAUCAUAAGUCCCUUUGCCUAUAUCUCAAAUUUUUAACUUAAAUUUUUAUACGGGUUUCAUGGAUAUCAUAUUUUUCUUCUUGUCUUUCCUACAAAAAUAUCUCAUUGCUGCCCUCUCUUACAAAGUUCUUAAAUUAUAUUGUAUUGUAAGUUAUCUAUAUUCAUUUGAUAUGAAAUUAAUUUCACAGAUCCAGGUUUUAUGUGUAGCUGCCAUUGGUGACAUAUUUAAGGUAAGUGGUGUAUGACCAUUGAGAAUAACUUCAACUAGCUUUAUUGGGAAAUUUCUUUUCUUUUCAAACUUUUAUUCUUCUAUAUUUGAGAACCAUAGAUCAUGCAACCAAUAAUGUCCAGCUUUAAAUUGCAAUUGUGAUUGGUACUUUUGUGAUUGACAACAAAUUCACCAUACUUUAGAUUCUAAUCAGAAGCUUGUAUCUUGUUUGCAUUGCAUUUGUGUCUCAUGUUAAGUUGUGAUCAAUGAGGAAGUUUCUUGCAAGACUUCGAUUUCCUUAUGCAAUUUAUGACACUUCAUUCUACGACAUAAUUAUCUUUGCAAUUUACAAUCUAGAUUUUAUGUUUUUAUUUCAUAAUGAUUUUGCGGAUAUGGUAAGUCUAUUUCUAUAUAUAGUCAUUUGCAAUGUACAACUAAAUUGAAUCACAUAACAAAAGGAAAAUCAUGGUCGUGCAGCAUUUAUUCUUCCAAUAAAUUUUAUUUUUGCCCUUUGCUUUUUGUCAUUGAAGAGCUUUUGUAGUAGAGAGUAGUGUUGAGCGAUCAAGUGAAAAUGUUAUCAAAGUAAGGUAUUAUUGACCUAUCAUAAGAAAAGUGAUGUAAACCUUUACAAAUAAUAAUAAUAAUUAAAAUCUCUGCUCCCAAGAGUGCUUUGCAUAGAGUCCUAGAGAAAGUAGUAACUGCUGCGGCUUAGGAUGGAGUAAAGCAGUGGUGAGGAUAGAUAGGGGAGGGAUGAGAUCUCUUUUCUAGCAGAAGAAAUCAUCCAGUUAUCAGUCAAGGUUUCGAUGGUGGUACCAAACUCUAAACCAACGCUGAUAUAUACAGUUUCGACAGAGAAGCUAUACAAUCCAGAAAGUUUUAGGGCACAAAUGAAAAUUAUAUGGAAGACAAGAAAAAAGUUUGUUAUCUAGAUGGUGGGGCAAAAUUUAUUCCUGAUAGUGUUUGAUUUGGAAGAAGAUAUAGAGACAAUUAUGGAGGGUAGACCUUGGCUUUUUCGUAAAAGUAUUAUUUUAUUUGAUAGGUUAAUUCAGGCGAUGGAAAGAGAUCAGAUUAGGCUUACUUCAUCACCGUUUCGGAUAAAAAUAGAUUCGUAUUUACCAAAAUUUGAUAAGAAAGAUCUCUUGCAUGCAAUCGGUGUUACGUUUGGUGGGGUUCUCAGAUUUGAAAUUAAUGAAGUCUUUUGUCAGCUCAGAAUUAACUUGGAUGUUCAGAAACCAAUUCGCCGAGGUAUUUUUGUCUCUAGUGAUAAUGUUAAUAAAGUGUGUUCCUUUUAAGCAUGAGAAUUUACCGAUGUUUUGUUUUGGAUGUGGAAGAAUGGGGCAUGGGAUAAAGAUUGUACUCAGAUAAUACCUGCAAGGAAAAAAAAAAUUAGUGUUGAUCCACCUUAUAUGCUGGCUUUAAAAGCAGAGAAUCAAAAUUAGUUGGAAAAGCCAGUAUGAAAUUUAAUGUUAUAAUGAAGAAGAUGGGGGCUCAAAGUUCUUACACAUGAGGCAAAGUGGUGGUGGCAGAAAGCUCUAGAAUAAUAGAAAAAGAGAACGAGAUUCGGGGUUCACAGGGGAAUAUGGAAUUGAUGGAAAGGGAGGAGAUGAUAAAGGAGUAGGGAUGCAUAUCUGGGAUAGAGGAGGUCGAGAAGUUGAAUAAUAGUACGGGAAAGAAGGGUAAAAACUCAAAUCCUAAGAAGAAGACAAGUUGGAAAAGAAUAAAACCAGUGGCCACAAUGAUACAAAUAAAGGAUGAGAAUAAUACGAGGAAAAGGAAGUCCCCAGAAGAAGAUCUUGCAAGAUUUGAUAAGGAAGAAAUAGAUGUAGACGGGACAAAAAGAUUGAAACAUAAUGAUUUUGAGGGUUGUGAAAAAGCCUUUUCAGAAGUGAUGUUAGACAGUUCUGAGCAACUUGAUAUUCAAAAUUUUUUUAGAUCGGCUGCUAAGAGGCAAGCCGACCGGACGCAAUAAAAAUUAUAAGUUGGAAUGUUUGUAGGGGCAGGAAGAAGGCUGCGAUUUUUUCUAAAGCAGUACAAUCCCCAUAUGGUCUUCUUAAUGGACAAAGUUAGGAAAAGGGAUUUGGUUUACUUGGGAAAAGGGAAAUUUGUCGGAGACAAAUAUUAAAGAAAGACUUGAUAGGGGAGUGCCAAAUGAUAAAUAGAGGCAUAUAUUUCCAACAAGAAACAUUAAACAUCUACCACACUCGAUGUUUGAUCAUUGCCCACUUCUUCUAAACACAAAAUGUGAAAAUACUUAUAAGGGCAAAUCAAAAUUUAAAUUUGAGGCGUGGUGGCUCAUGGAGGAAACGAUUGAGAAAAUAAUUAAAGAAUCUUGGGAAUCAGGAACAGGCACAGUAGUUUGAAAAGUUGAAAGAUUACAGGCAGACUUAAAGAUAGGGGCGAGAUCAAUCAAAAAAGGGCGAGAAGGACUAAAGAAAAAGCUUACGAAGCAACUUGAUAUGUUAAUGGCGCAAGAGAGGACUGAGAAACGAUGGCAAAAGUUAUUGACACAAAGAUUCACCUGAAUAUGGAAAUUGAUUAAGAUUAAGCUUAUUGGGAACAAAGGGCAAGGGCAAAUUGGCUUAAAGUAGGGGAUAAGAAUUUAGCUUCUUUUCAUAGGUUUGCCAUAUAUCAAAGACGCAUGAAUACCAUAUCAAAGUUGGAGUUAGGUGGAGGAGGAGAGGUUAAUGAAGUAAGCGAGAUUAAUGAAGAGGCUACUAUGUACUUUCAGAAGCUGUUCACAUCAAAUGGAGUAGGGGAUCCUUCUUAUCUCCUAACGGGUAUUGAAAAUAAUAUUUCGGCAAAUAAUAAUAAAGAUUUAAUGUCAAAUUAUACAGUAGAAGAAGCCUGUGAUGCAUUGAAAGGAAUGGGACCUACUAAAGCACCAGGACAUGAUGGUUUUCUAGCAAUCUUCUUUUAGAAAUAUUGGCACAUUGUAGGUAAGGAAAUUGAAAACUUUUGCUUGGAAAUAUUAAAUAAUAAUGAGAGUUUUGGUCAUUUCAACCAAACAGAGAUCGUGUCGAUUCCAAAAAUCCCUAAUCCCACAAGUCUAGUUAACUUUAGACCCAUUAGCUUGUGUUCGGUCAUUUAUAAAAUGGUGGCAAAAAUAAUUGUAAAUCAAUUACAAGUAGUUAUUGGGAGAUGCAUUGAUGCGGCUCAAAGUGCUCUCGUCCCGGGAAGGCUAAUUUCUGACAACAUGCUUCUAGUUUAUGAGGUCUUGCAUACUUUUCAACAAAAGCGCAAAGGAAAAAAAAGGAUACAUGGCAGUAAAGCUUGACAUAAGUAAAGCCUAUGAUAGGGUCGAAUAGAAUUAUAUAAAAGAAUUCAUGUUACGAAUGGGCUUUGCAAAGGACUGGGUAGAUUUGGUUAUAAAAUGUAUUUCCUUAGCGUCCUAUACAGUUAAGACAAAUGGAGGAAGUGGACGAAGCUUUAAAUCAACAAGAGGCUUGCGACAGGGAGAUCCUCUAAGUCAUUUUCUAUUUUAAUGUGUAGCGAGGGAUUAUCAUCUUUGAUGAGAUUGGCAUUGAAGGAGAAAUUGUUAAGAGGCGCAAAGGCAAAUAGAAGAGGCCCAAAAAUUUCACAUUUACUUUUUGCAGAUGAUUAUAUUCUGUUUGGGGAAGCAUCAGAUAGGGGAGCAAGGGUGCUAAAAGGAAUUCUGAAGAUAUAUGAAAGGUGUUCUGGCCAAUGUGUAAAUUUCAAUAAAUCUACAAUCUUUUUCAGCUCGAACACUACAGAAGGAAAAAAGGAAAAAGUCUUGGCAAUCUUGAGGGUAAGGACCUCAACAAAUAUGGAAAGAUAUUUAGGUCUCCCGAAUGUGGUUGGUAGACAGAAAAAAAAAAGAAUCUUUCCAACAUCUCAAAGAGAAGAUUUAUGCCAGAAUUAAAGGAUUGAGUACCAGAAUGUUAUCUCAAGGAGGUAAGGAAGUAUUUUUAAAGUCGGUACUUCAGGCUAUUCCAACCUAUGCUGUCUUAUUUCUUACUACCAAAGUCGCUUUGUGGAGAUAUAGAAAGCAUAUUUGCUAAAUUUUGGUGGCAAAAAGCGCACAGGAAAAGAGGAAUUCAUUGGUGACAGUGGAAAUAUUUGUGUCGGUCAAAAGGUGGUUUGGGUUUUAAAAACAUGGCUCAAUUUAAUGUCUCAUUACGAGCCAAACAGGGUAGAGAAUUUUGAACAAUCUAAAUUCUUUGAUAGCUCAAGUUUUAAAGGCAAAAUAUUAUCCGAGUGUUAAUUUCCUAAAUUCACGAUUGGCGAACAAUGCUUCAUAUACAUGGAAAAGCAUUUGGGCUACAAAGGGUAUUUUAGAGGAAGGAUUGUGUUAGAAGGUGGGCAGGAGAAUGAAUAUUUCAGUUAGUAAUGACUUUUGGAUCCCAGAUAUGAAAAAGAAUAGGUUAUCAGCUUUAAUUACGAAUUUGAAUGAUUUUAAAGUUGCCGAAUUAAUUGAUUCAAGUAAUAGAACAUGGAAGAAAGAGUUGAUAACUUCUACCUUUUCGGAGGAUGUUGCCGAGAAGAUUAUUUGCAUUCCGUUGGCAGAAGAACCUCAUGAAGACUUUCGGGUUUGGAGUGCUGAGGCGUUGGGCUAAUACACAGUACGCAGUGCCUAUAAACUAUUACAAAGCAUUGAAGAUGUCCCUAGAGCUUAUGCUUUACAAGCCGGCUAUAAGAAAUUCUACAAAAAAACUAUGGCUACUGAACCUUCCUUCAAAAAUAAAAAUUACAAUCAGGAAGAUAUCAUGGAAUUUCCUAUCUACACGAGUUAAUAUGCUACUAAGAAAGUUAACAAACACAACAAUAUGCCCCUAAUAUGGAGUAGGAACAGAAAACAUGGACCAUCUUUUUCGUGAAUGUCUUGUUUCAAUUUCAGUUUGGAGAGAGUUAUCAUGCCAAGUAUUUUUGCAAGAAAAUCAUUUAGAGUUUGUACAGUGGCUAACCUGGGUAUUUUCGCAGAACUCGGCAUCACAGUGUAGGAUAUUUUACUGUGCAUUAUGGGCAAUCUGGGGAGAUAGGAAUCACAGAGUGCACAAAAAAGUGAGUAAAUCUGGAAAAGUAAUAGGGAGAUUUGUUAACAGUUAUAUAUUAGAGUUGAAUGAGAUUGAUAAAAACAAACCACAAACCUCUAUAACUAUUAACAAGUGGAGAAAGCCACCUGAUCAGGUAGUGAAGAUUAAUUUUGAUGCAGCAUGCGACGGAAAGUUUAAUCAAGCGGCAGUGGGGGUUGUGGCCAGAAACAGUGAGGGCAAGGUCCUUUUAUUGUGCUCGGAGAUCUAUCAACGGGUUGCAUCAGCCUUUGCGGCCGAGGCACUUACGUAGUGGAAAGCGAUCCAAAUCGGCAUAGACAUGCAUUGGGAAAAGUCAUUAUUGAAGGAGACUCUUUAUCAAUAAUAAAAAAGUGUAAGACGAGAAUCCCAGAUAAAUCAAAGGUAUUACAUCCACGAUAUUCAUAAGCUACUAUUAAAAUAUAAGGAGUGCAGAUUUGAAUAUAUCCCAAGAGCAGGAAACAGUCUUGCGCAUACUUUAGCAAAUGAAACGAUGAAGAGUAAAAUAGUAGUUUACCCGGUUGGAGGUGUCCCUGAAUCUGUAGAAGAACAAAAGGAAAGGGAUAGGGUGAGAAAGCCAGAUUGAAUAAUGAAAGGGAGAAGAUGAAAUAGGGGGAGUCUGAAAAAGGGCUGGUAAAGGGUUAGACGAAAUUAAAGUCCCCUCAGGAGUUUGAAUACGUCUUGUUGAAGAAAUGGCAGAUGAAGUGACAAGACGGUGAAAAAAUAUCUUUUUGAUUGGGUAAAAAUAACAGCAACAUUAAUGUGAUUCCAGAGACUUCUGAUUCUCUUUCUGUUUUGUUGAUUUUCUAGGCCGAAUUAGGAUUUGGGUUGUUACUUAGUUUUUUCGUUUCUUUGUUUAUUUUGAUACUGGGCCAAGCCUCAUAUCCGGGCCUUUCUUUUUAUCUAGGUUUUUAUAUAUGUACUUUUGAAGUUUAAUAAUAAA
rnacentral:lncRNA from 1 species